CACAAAUCUGUGAAAUAUUCACAGAUAAAAAGCUAUAAAAUAUUCCAAAUGUGCUCCCUGUAUUCCUCUAACAAUAUAGGUGUGUAAAUAUAUGUGUUUGUAUGCAUAUUCAAACAUUAACAUUUGCUCAUCGUUCAUUUUAUUACCUAUCAACAUGACACUUUUGUGGUUUUACUAUUGUAGUUUCUCUCAUCAGUUACCCAAACAUCCCUUGGAAGGUUAAUAAUUCUGUGUAUGUUUUGAUGUGGGAGUCAGCAUUGUUUAUAGUUGAUCUAAGCAUCUGAACUCUGCUAAUGUUAUCAUUUUCACUACACUGUGUCUGCUGUUACAUAGGGAGUAUCAACUUUACACUACAUAUUAUUUACUGAAAUUUGUCCCAUAGCAAUAUCUUUCCUAAUCUUUCUGUCUGAAAAUAAUUCCUCAACUCCCUGCAAAAUUAUUCUGCAUGUUUAUUCUGGAGGUGCAGCUCACUAUGCUCUGUUGGAGAGGCUAAGGGUCUGCAAAUGAAGAAAAAACUUCUGGUGUCAAGUCUUAAGUUUUUAUGGUUUUUUUUGUAUGUGUGCAGGAUUUCUUAUUUGUUUGUUUUCUCCUUGCACUUCCCAUCACAGAUAAGGUAUCUCAAAAGGAGUUAGAAAGUGUUAUAUUAAUCCUCUACCACUUGGAAUUCAUUAAGAUGUACAAAGAUAUAACCCAUCAAUAUUAUUCUGCGCUACAAAGCUUUUAGAUUUGGGACUGACAACACAAAAUAUUUCUGAAGAGCUGCCAAAGAAACUCUUAACAGCUCAGGCUGAAAUCUGAGAUCUGGUUAAAAAGAAAAGAAAAGAAAAAAGAAACAAGAAAAAGAAACACAAAAAUUUGUAAGUUGCCUUCCAUUUCAAAGCUUGCUAGUUUAGUUUUCCAGUUCUCUUAUUGCAAAGUCAGAGGAGCUGUUGUGAUUAGAACUAAUGGUUUAAUCUAUCAGCACAAUCCCUUUAGUAUUCAGUGUAAACAAAACUAAUUUUAGAGCAGAAAUAACUGCAAAAAUACAAAUGUUCAAAUAAAUUUAAACAAAUAAAAAACUAUAAUGUCUAG
rnacentral:lncRNA from 1 species